UACGUAGGGGGCAAGCGUUGUCCGGAUUUAUUGGGCGUAAAGGGCUCGUAGGCGGCCAACUAAGUCGGACGUGAAAUCCCCAGGCUCAACCUGGGAACUGCGUCCGAUACUGGAUGGCUUGAAUCCGGGAGAGGGAUGCAGAAUUCCAGGUGUAGCGGUGAAAUGCGUAGAUAUCUGGAGGAAUACCGGUGGCGAAGGCGGCAUCCUGGACCGGCAUUGACGCUGAGGAGCGAAAGCCAGGGGAGCAAACGGG
rnacentral:rRNA from 1 species